CCCUUAGAGUUUGAUCCUGGCUCAGAACGAACGUUAGCGGCGCGCCUAACACAUGCAAGUCGAGCGAGAAAGGGCUUCGGCCCCGGUAAAGCGGCGCACGGGUGAGUAACACGUGGGUAAUCUGCCCUCGGGUCGGGGAUAACAUUCCGAAAGGAGUGCUAAUACCGGAUAAGACCACGACCUCGAAAGAGGAAGCGGUCAAAGCAGGCCUCUAUAUAUAAGCUUGCGCCUGAGGAUGAGCCCGCGGCGCAUCAUGGUAGUUGGUGAGGUAAUGGCUCACCAAGCCGAAGACGCGUAGCUGGUCUGAGAGGAUGAUCAGCCACACUGGAACUGAGACACGGUCCAGACUCCUACGGGAGGCAGCAGUGGGGAAUCUUGCGCAAUGGGCGAAAGCCUGACGCAGCGACGCCGCGUGAGUGAUGAAGGCCUUCGGGUUGUAAAGCUCUGUGGGGAGAGACGAAUAAGUGCUGGCUAAUACCCUGCAUGAUGACGGUAUCUCCUUAGCAAGCACCGGCUAACUCUGUGCCAGCAGCCGCGGUAAGACAGAGGGUGCAAACGUUGUUCGGAAUUACUGGGCGUAAAGCGAGUGUAGGCGGUUUCCUAAGUCAGGUGUGAAAGCCCCGGGCUCAACCCGGGAAGUGCACUUGAAACUGGGAGGCUAGAGUAUCGGAGAGGUUGGUGGAAUUCUCGGUGUAGAGGUGAAAUUCGUAGAUAUCGAGAGGAACACCGGUGGCGAAAGCGGCCAACUGGACGAAUACUGACGCUGAGACUCGAAAGCGUGGGGAGCAA
rnacentral:rRNA from 1 species